rnacentral:rRNA from 1 species
AGCAGCCGCGGUAAUUCCAGCUCCAAUAGCGUAUAUUAAAGUUGUUGCAGUUAAAAAGCUCGUAGUUGAAUUUCGGGAUCAAUUAAUCGGUCGUGCCUCUGGUACGCACUGGUUUUAUUGGUUUCUCCCUUCUGACGAACCAGGAUGUCAUUAAUUUGGUGUCUUGGAGAAUCAGGACUGUUACUUUGAAAAAAUUAGAGUGUUUAAAGCAGGCUUCUAGGCAUGAAUACAUUAGCAUGGAAUAAUGAAAUAGGACGUUUGAUCCUAUUUUGUUGGUUUCUAGGAUCGACGUAAUGAUUAAUAGGGAUAGUUGGGGGCAUUAGUAUUCAAUUGUCAGAGGUGAAAUUCUUGGAUUUAUUGAAGACUAACUAUUGCGAAAGCAUUUGCCAAGGAUGUUUUCAUUAAUCAAGAACGAAAGUUAGGGGAUCGAAGACGAUCAGAUACCGUCGUAGUCUUAACCAUAAACUAUGCCGACUAGGGAUCGGAUGAUGUUAAAUUUUUUUAAUGUACUCAUUCGGCG